rnacentral:rRNA from 1 species
AUACGUAGGGGGCGAGCGUUGUCCGGAAUGAUUGGGCGUAAAGGGCGCGUAGGCGGCGCGGUAAGUCUGGAGUGAAAGUCCUGCUUUCAAGGUGGGAAUUGCUUUGGAUACUGCCGCGCUUGAGUGCAGGAGAGGUUAUCGGAAUUCCCGGUGUAGCGGUGAAAUGCGUAGAGAUCGGGAGGAACACCAGUGGCGAAGGCGGGUAACUGGACUGCAACUGACGCUGAGGCGCGAAAGUGUGGGGAGCAAACAGGAUUAGAUACCCUGGUAGUCCACACUGUAAACGAUGAAUGCUAGGUGUAAGAGGUAUCGACCCCUUUUGUGCCGGAGUCAACACAAUAAGCAUUCCGCCUGGGGAGUACGGCCGCAAGGUUGGAACUCAAAUGAAUUGACGGGG